CAACCAUCAAGAGCGGCUGAGAGAUCUGGCUCCGUGACGCCGCAGCAACCCUCCGCGUGAGCGGGUGUGGGUGCUUCCGCCAGAACCGAUGGAGG
rnacentral:ncRNA from 2 species